rnacentral:lncRNA from 1 species
CUUCCUCUUUCUGUUCAUAAACAUUCUUCCACGACGUGCUGUGCUGGAAUCCCUGAGCCUGCUCUGGCCUGGGAGGCUGCCUGAUUUGGUCAUUACAGAUGUAAUGAAGGAUCUCCAAUUGAAUCCGUCCAAGGAUUAAGGUGGGCCCUGAAUCCCAUAGACUGGUGUCCUCAUAAGAAAAGGUGAGGACAAAGAGAGACACAGAGACACACAGAUAGCUAUGUGAAGAUGGAAGCAGAGGUUGGGGAUCUGCUGCCACAAACAAAGGCACCCCAAGUAUUGCCAGCAACCACCAGAAGCAAGGAGAAAGGCAUGGGACGCUUUCUCCAUCAGAGUCUCCGGAAGGAACCAAGCUUACUGACACCUUGAUUUUGGACUUCUAGCCCCCAGAACUUCAAGAUAAUACAUUUCUGUUGUUUAAAGCCAUGUGGUUUGUGGUAAUUUGUUAUGACAGUGCUAGAAAACUUAUACAAACCCUCCAAGGCAGAAAUAAACAUGGGCACAACACUGCUACCCAAUCCACAGAUCCCAUUCAAAUUUUGCUGGCUCAGCCCAUCAUGUCUCUUUUCCCUUUCAGGUCCAGGAUCCAGUCCAGGAGCAUGCAUUACAUUUAGUUGUCACAUGUCCGAAUAGAAGGAAGGAGAUUCCCUUCAAUAUGGAAUAAUUUCUUAGUCUUUCCCUGUCUUCCACAUCCUUCCGUUUUUUGUUUUUGUUUUUAUUUUGAGACAGUCUCACUCUGUCACCCAGGCUGGAGUACAGUGGGGUGAUCAUGGCUCACUAUAGCCUUGACUUCUCCAGGCUCAGGUGAUCCUCCUACCUCAGCCUCCUGAGUAUCUGGGACUACAGGCGUGUGCCACCACACUCGGCUAAUUUUUGCUUUUUUUUGUAGAACAGAGUUUCAAGUUGCUCAGGCUGGUCUCAAACUCCUGGGCUCAAGUGAUCCACCCACCUUGGCCUCCCAAAGUGCUGGGAUUACAGGCACGACCCACUGCAACUGGCCCCACAUCCUUCAGUUUUUAAGAGUGCAGGCCUUUUGUUAUGUAGGAUGGCCCUAGACCUGGUUCCAUCUAAUAUUUCAUUUUGGUCAGACCUCGCCAUGAUUUCUUGACAGGAAAAUGAUGGACAGGAUCCUGGGCUCUGCACAUUACAGCAUAUGAUGUGGUCUUGUCUCAUCACUGGUGAUGUUAAUCUUGAUUGCUUGGUCAUGUUGGUGUCUUCCAUAUUUCUCCUCCAUUGAGUCACCAUUUUCACCUUUGCAAUUGAUAAGCAUUUUGUGGGGAGAUUUUCUAAAAUUAUGCUAAAAUCCUGAUCCUUAACAACUUCUACCCAUCAGCCUUAAUAUUUGUGGAUGAUCCCUAUCUGAAUAAAUUAUAACCAUAAUAGUGUCAUAUGGUGGUUUGCUAUUUUCAUCAUUCCUUCUACAUUAAUUACUUGGUAUUCUACUGUAAGAAAGAAGUUCCACUGCUUCCUCUAUUUAUUUACUUAUUUAUUCAUUUAUUUAGUAGUAUGAAUUUCAAUUUAACAGGUUAAAAACCAUGCUUGUUCUUUGUGAAAGUAUAUAACGUUAUUAUCUUUAUCAGAGAAGAAAUGGUUCUGAACUUCUCAAGAAAGUAUACAAGCAGUAUAAAAAUGAGAUAAUUACACUUACUUAACAUACCUUAUUUUCAUCCAAAUAAACACGAAAAGAAUCCAACAUGAUAUUUGAAAUUCUACCAUAGGGUAUUUUACUAGAAAAAUAGAAUCUUGUGUUUUUGGUAAUGUUUGUUCAUAUCACAAAAUUACUGAGAAGCGAAACAUUUCUAAAUUCACAUUAGAACAUUGUAAUUCACAUUUGUGUUAGAAUGAUGGUUACCAGAGUCUGGGAAGGGUAGUGGAGUAGUAGAAUGGGGGAUGGUUAUUGGAUAUGAAAAUAUAGUUAGUUAGAAUGAAUAAGAUCUAGUAUUUGAUAGCACAACAGGGUAACUACAGUCAACAAUAAUUUAUUGUACAUUUAAAAAUAACUAUAAGACUAUAAUUAGAUUGUAACACAAAGAAAGGAUAAAUGUUUGAAGUGAUAGAUACCCCAUUUAUCCUGAUGUGAUUAUUACACAUUGUAUGCUUGUAUCAAAAUAUCUCAUGUACGCCAUACAUAUAUAUGCCUACUGUGUACUCACAAAAAUUAAAAAUUGUAAAAAUAAAUAAACAAAACAAAACAAAAUUGUUUGAUAUUUCUUUUAUAAAUUCCCUUUCACAAAUCUUUUCAUGACUUACACAGAACAUCUAUGAAAAGCUUGGACUUUCUCACUUGUCCUAAGCAUCCCUCUUUUUAAACAAUCAGUUAUUUUUCUUUAGGAUGCAAAUUUA